rnacentral:rRNA from 1 species
UACAGAUGUCUCAAGCGUUGUUCGGAUUCAUUGGGCGUAAAGGGUGCGUAGGCGGCGCGGUAAGUCGGGUGUGAAAUCUCGGGGCUUAACUCCGAAACUGCAUUCGAUACUGCCGUGCUUGAGGACUGGAGAGGAGACUGGAAUUUACGGUGUAGCGGUGAAAUGCGUAGAUAUCGUAAGGAAGACCAGUGGCGAAGGCGGGUCUCUGGACAGUUCCUGACGCUGAGGCACGAAGGUCAGGGGAGCAAACGGG